CCUACGGGGGGCAGCAGUAGGGAAUAUUGCACAAUGGGGGAAACCCUGAUGCAGCAACGCCGCGUGGAGGAAGAAGGGUUUAGGAAUGUAAAAUCCUUUUGUUAGAGAAGAUUAUGACGGUAUCUAACGAAUAAGCACCGGCUAACUCCGUGCCAGCAGCCGCGGUAAUACGGAGGGUGCAAGCGUUACUCGGAAUCACUGGGCGUAAAGGGUGCGUAGGCGGGGUAAUAAGUCAGAUGUGAAAUGCUGGGGCUUAACUACAGAACUGCAUUUGAAACUGUUACUCUGGAGUGUGGGAGAGGUAAGUGGAAUUCUUGGUGUAGGGGUAAAAUGCGUAGAGAUCAAGAGGAAUACUCGUGGCGAAGGCGACCUGCUGGAACAUAACUGACGCUGAUGCACGAAAGCGUGGGGAGCAAACAGGAUUAGAUACCCCGGUAGUC
rnacentral:rRNA from 1 species